rnacentral:tmRNA from 1 species
GGGGGUGUAAAGGUUUCGACGGGGAUCGUCGGGAGUAUGGUAAGCGAGCCGCGGCCCCUGACCGCGUUAAAACGGGGAACUUAAAAUCAACUGACAACGAUAAUCUCGUUCUCGCGGCGGCUUAACGCUGCGCGUCGUCCUCAAGCGCCUACUGCUUGAGCCAGCGGCGUCAUCGAAGUAGGGAACGGGCCUGCCUAAGCUUUGCAGCAGGCCGGCACUAUGAAGCUACUGAAUCUGUAAGCCCGCGGCGGGGCGUACAGAGAAGGGAAUGUCAAAUCCGCUGCUGCGCUCGGAGAAAGCUGUAAGCCUGAAUCUUCGGACAGGAGUUCGAUUCUCCUCACCUCCACCA